rnacentral:rRNA from 1 species
UACGUAGGGUGCAAGCGUUAAUCGGAAUUACUGGGCGUAAAGCGUGCGCAGGCGGUUGUGCAAGCCAGAUGUGAAAUCCCCGGGCUCAACCUGGGAAUUGCAUUUGUGACUGCACGGCUAGAGUGUGUCAGAGGGGGGUAGAAUUCCACGUGUAGCAGUGAAAUGCGUAGAUAUGUGGAGGAAUACCGAUGGCGAAGGCAGCCCCCUGGGAUAACACUGACGCUCAUGCACGAAAGCGUGGGGAGCAAACAGG